rnacentral:rRNA from 1 species
AGACCCGAAACCCGGUGAUCUAGCCAUGGGCAGGUUGAAGGUUGGGUAACACUAACUGGAGGACCGAACCGACUAAUGUUGAAAAAUUAGCGGAUGACCUGUGGCUGGGGGUGAAAGGCCAAUCAAACCGGGAGAUAGCUGGUUCUCCCCGAAAGCUAUUUAGGUAGCGCCUCGUGAAUUCAUCUCCGGGGGUAGAGCACUGUUUCGGCUAGGGGGCCAUCCCGGCUUACCAACCCGAUGCAAACUGCGAAUACCGGAGAAUGUUAUCACGGGAGACACACGGCGGGUGCUAACGUCCGUCGUGAAGAGGGAAACAACCCAGACCGCCAGCUAAGGUCCCAAAGUCAUGGUUAAGUGGGAAACGAUGUGGGAAGGCCCAGACAGCCAGGAUGUUGGCUUAGAAGCAGCCAUCAUUUAAAGAAAGCGUAAUAGCUCACUGGUCGAGUCGGCCUGCGCGGAAGAUGUAACGGGGCUAAACCAUGCACCGAAGCUGCGGCAGCGAACGUAUCACCCAAGACAACUUUACGGAGUUGACGAUUGACGGAGCGAAGCGACGUCAAAGCGUUCAUUAAAGUCGAGUUGGCUUAGGGAUACGUUCGUUGGGUAGGGGAGCGUUCUGUAAGCCUGUGAAGGUGUGUCGUGAGGCAUGCUGGAGGUAUCAGAAGUGCGAAUGCUGACAUAAGUAACGAUAAAGCGGGUGAAAAGCCCGCUCGCCGGAAGACCAAGGGUUCCUGUCCAACGUUAAUCGGGGCAGGGUGAGUCGACCCCUAAGGCGAGGCCGAAAGGCGUAGUCGAUGGGAAACGGGUUAAUAUUCCCGUACUUGGUGUUACUGCGAAGGGGGGACGGAGAAGGCUAUGUUGGCCGGGCGACGGUUGUCCCGGUUUAAGCGUGUAGGUGUGUGUUCCAGGUAAAUCCGGUUCACUUUAACACUGAGGCGUGACGACGAGGCACUACGGUGCUGAAGCAACAAAUG